ACAAAACUCUAGUCAAAUAUUAAAUUUUUGAGUAAUCUAAACAUCCUAGACAAGAAAGACCAGACAGCAUGAGCAGUUAAUCAAAUAAAGAUUGUCUGGAUUGUUAUCACCACAAAACAAUAUUUGUUUUAAAAUUUACACCAUGGUAAGGGUUCUACUGCGUGAUACAUAUGUUUCAAUAACAUUAUUUCAUAUAAUGGAAGCCCUUAGUCUUCCUCUGUUCACCAUGAUGAUCACAACUAUAUUCCAUGAGACCACACAUGGUGCUGUUAAUACUCCUUGCUUUUCAUCUUGUGGAAAUAUCCAUAAUAUAACCUCCCCUUUCCGACUAGAAACCGAUCCACCCAGCUGUGUAUCAACGACGCUCUACAACUCGAAUGCUUUUGUUCUUUCUUGCAAGAAUAAUCGAACAAUAUUGAAAGAUGAUGGAAGAGGCUAUUACCAUGUUCAGGCAAUCAAUUACAACAACUACACAAUAAGACUUGUGGAUUCAAAUCUCCACAAGGGAAAUUGCUCCUCCAUCCCUACCUAUUCAUCUCUCCCUUCACCAUUUGAAUUACAAAUUACGUUUCGACUGGGUGAGAGGUUUUGGUCGGCAAAUUUUAUAACAUAUCAAACUUCAGAGCGUGUAUUAUUCUUGAGCUGUGAAAAGAAAGUGUCCAAUUCUUUAUAUAUAGACACAGCUCCUUGCAUAAAUAGCUCUAAGUUGUCUGAAAAUCCCAAAUCUCGGUUCUUAUAUGCUGUGUAUGCUUCUGGCUUCAAGUAUUCUGAUUUGGCCGAGUCCUGCCAGAUAUAUCAAACGGCCCUCAUAUCAUCGAGGAAGAAUGAUAAGAAGAAGAAGAUGACUAUGUCCUACCGAGACAUACACGAUGAGUUCACUUAUGGUUUUGAGGCUUCAUGGCUCCGAGUUCUCCAAAAACAUGUCAAAGAAAAUUUUUGCUACAUCAGUGAAAGAUACAACAAGGCUUAUUGUAUUUAUAGUUAUUGCAGAGCAAUAAGAUUGGCACGGAAUCUAGUUUGUAGGCUCUGGUAUGUAUUCGACAAACGUCUAAUGUUACCAACUGCUCAUCUUAGUCUUGACUUUAUUUGUCUUCGAUGGAGAAACAUUGUAGAAAUUCUAGCGCCAAGAACAAUAAUUGGACUUUCGUUUGUGAUUGGUCUUAUCAUCUAUAAAUGGAAAAGACGACAUUUGUCAAUAUACAAGGAUAUUGAGGAAUAUCUCCAGCGACAAAACAAUCUCAUGCCUGUAAGAUAUUCAUACUUAGAUAUUAAAAAAAUGACAACAUGCUUCAAGCAUAAAUUAGGUGAAGGAGGUUUUGGCUCUGUCUAUAAAGGAAAACUUCGUAGUGGUCAUUAUGUAGCAAUCAAGAUGUUGAGUAAAUCCAAAACUAGUGGACAAGACUUUAUUAAUGAAGUUUCUACCAUUGGAAGGAUUCAUCAUGCCAAUGUGGUGCGUUUAGUAGGAUUUUGUGUUGAAGGUUCAAAACGUGCCCUUGUAUAUGAAUUCAUGCCUAAUGGAUCAUUGAAUAACCAUAUUUUUAUAGGAGGCAAAGAGCGAAAUAACUCCUUAAGUGAUGAGAAAAUAUUUGAUAUCUCACUGGGAAUUGCCCGUGGUAUCGAAUAUCUUCACCAAGGAUGUGACAUGCAAAUUUUACAUUUUGAUAUUAAGCCUCACAAUAUUCUUUUGGAUGAAAGUUUUAUUCCCAAGGUUUCAGACUUUGGUCUAGCAAGAUUAUGUCCUAUAGAGAAUAAUAUAGUGCCCUUAACCACAGUGAGAGGAACUGUUGGAUACAUAGCUCCAGAAUUGUUUUACAAAAAUAUUGGAGGAGUCUCCCACAAAGCUGAUGUCUACAGUUUUGGAAUGUUAUUGAUGGAAAUGGCUAGUCGAAGGAGAAAUUUGAACCCACAAACAGUUCAUUCUAGCAAAAUAUACUUUCCUUUAUGGGUGUAUGACCAUAUAGAUGAAGUGAAGAGCAUUGAACUAAAAGACAACGUGAAUGAUGAACAAGAGAAAAAAACAAAAAAGAUGAUUAUGGUAGCAUUAUGGUGUAUACAAAUGAAGCCUUGCGAUCGCCCUUCAAUAAGCAAAGUCAUAGAGAUGUUAGAGAGCCAUAUUGAAUGCCUAGAAAUGCCUCCAAAGCCCUACUUGUAUCCACAAGAUUCUUACAAUAAUGUAAUUUAUACUAGUGGGGAGACACUAAACACAAGAUGUUCAUCAUCGCUUUCAUACGAGGAUUAUUAAAGUUGAAAGGCAUUGUUAAAGAAAGGUGCAAAGUAUUCAAAAUCUCAGUGCUCUUGCUGAUCACUUUUCAUGCCAGCUACUUCUGAAGUUACCCAGCAAACUGUCGAGUACAUCAAAAAGACAAGAACUCAACUUCAGCUAAAGAAUAUUAUAUUUUUUCAUCUCUUUCUUUGUAACUGUUCUAAUAUCAGCUAAAGAAAAAAAAAACAAUUAAAGACAGAAACUUCUCUGAUUCCUCUUAGCUCUCCUUAAAUCCCUAAAUCCUAAUAUACCCAAACUAGCUCCUUAAACCACUGCCGCCUCUUUGCCUCUCUCUCCUCAUGCUCAGUAUCGAAUCUAUCGCUCCUUCACUCACUCUCUUUCACACUUAGGCUCCCGACUCUCUCUGCUUAACGCAAGCUACCGGAGCACACCACAACAGUGGAGCACUUUCUCCAUUCCUUUGAGUCAUUGGAGCAUGUUGGUACGAGUCACAGUGGUGUGAGUCAUGGUGCUCUGUCUUCCUCACACAAGUCACAUCAGUAUCUCCUCUGCUGGAAGGAAGAACCCAGGCAAGAACAUCUCUGUGAGAAUUAGAGCAGUACAAUCAUUCAAACUUCACUCGACAAACACUCACACUCACACUCCCAUUGAGCUGCUGAAGCACACCACGACCAUGCCACCUUCCCCAUCCUUCUCCCUCUCUAUGUAUUUCUCCGAUUAGAAGCAAGUACCCCGACAAGAAAACUCAGACCUUCGUGUCUCUAUGAGAGCAUUGAAUAGGAGUGACAUAGCCAUGAUACGCAUAAAACAUGAACCAAGCUACCCUGGUAGAGCAUGUCAGAACUAUGCAAAUGGACUCACAACAAAGACAAGUGCACAAAAGAUGAUGAAUUGAAGGAUGGAGCAAGUUUCAUACAUGGUUUACUUUUGUGUAUCUUGUAAUGUUUCUGUUUUUCAUUUUUGAAGUAAAAAAUGUUCAAGAUUAUAAAACUUUAUUAUGUUAUGCUUUCAAACUUAAAGUUAGAACUAAGAUCUCAUGAAGUAGACACAUUCAUGAUUUGAAUUAGUUAUUGUU